AUCUCCACCUAAAGAUACUCCGGAGCGAAAUUCUGCUGUUCUUAUAAGUUUAAUAUCUGAUACGUCCCCUAUCUGGGGACCAUAUAUUAAAUGGUUUUUUUUUUGAGAACUGGGGCCGAUUUCGAAGCUUGCUUCAGUCGCUCUAUGCAUUGACCCGAUAUGGCAGUAUCUUCGGGUACCGUGGUCCAAAA